rnacentral:rRNA from 1 species
UGCGUAGGCGGCUAGAUAAGUCAGAGGUGAAAUGCUACGGCUUAACUGUGGAAUUGCCUUUGAAACUAUAUAGCUAGAAUAGAGUUGAGGUUGGCGGAAUGUGACAUGUAGCGGUGAAAUGCAUAGAUAUGUCAUAGAACAUCGAUUGCGAAGGCAGCUAACUGGGCUUUUAUUGAGCUGAGGCAACGAAGGCGUGGGAUCAAACA